rnacentral:rRNA from 1 species
GUACACGCUGUGACUAGCAUAUCAAUAAGCGGAGGAAAAGAAACUAACAAGGAUUCCCCUAGUAACGGCGAGUGAAGCGGGAAGAGCUCAAAUUUGAAAUCUUAAAGGGUUUCCCUUUACGAAUUGUAGUUUAAAGAAGUGUUUUCUGUUGAGGUUUUGGUAAAAGUUCUUUGGAAUAGGACAUCAUAGAGGGUGAGAAUCCCGUAUUUGACCUUUACUUUCAACUUUGUGAUACACUUUCAAAGAGUCGGAUUGUUUGGGAAUGCAGUCCAAAAUGGGUGGUAAAUUUCAUCUAAAGCUAAAUAUUGGCGAGAGACCGAUAGCGAACAAGUACCGUGAGGGAAAGAUGAAAAGAACUUUGAAAAGAGAGUUAAACAGUACGUGAAAUUGUCAAAAGGGAAGCGUUUGACACCAGUGUUGUUUUUCUGAAAAUCAAUUAAAGAACUGUUUAUGCUAAGCUGUUUAGACUUUAUCAGCUAUCUGUUUAGUUUUGAGCUUUUCUUUAAUGCACUUUUCAGUUAACAAGUCAACAUCAAUUUCUUUUGCUGUAAAAAAGCUUGAGGAAGGUGGCUUGAGAUUCGUCUUAAGUGUUUAUAGCCUCUUGCCUAUGCAGUCGGAGAGAUUGAGGUCUGCAGCGUAGAUCCUUCGGGGCUAAAUGCAUUUGUGCUAAGUUAUAGCAUUUUAUAGACAACUUGUUGACUAUGAUUUGUCUUGUAGCUUACUCGCUUAUGUUAUUUUACCUACGCUUAGGAUGUUGACUGAUAUGUAGUCGUA